UCGAGACCGUGGGAAGCAACUCGGCGGCAGAAGUGGAUCGCAGCUGUUCGGCGCGUCAAUGCCGAUGACCUGUCAUCGUGCUGUGGCACUUUGUCGUCGUGCUGGGGCUUCCUCGAUGGCUUUCCCCACGUCUGCGGGCAGCUCGUACACGAAGAGUCCUCGUGUAGGUUUACGUAUAGUGCCACCGCUGCGCAGUGUUUACAGUUGCCCAGGGCGCCGUAACGGCACGUACAAUUGCCGCUGAGAAUUUCUCGGGGCGUGAUCGACAACUUUGCAUGAAAAAAAAA
rnacentral:lncRNA from 1 species